rnacentral:rRNA from 1 species
AUUGAACGCUGGCGGCAGGCUUAACACAUGCAAGUCGAGCGAGCGGCGGACGGGUGAGUAAUGUCUGGGAAACUGCCUGAUGGAGGGGGAUAACUACGGGAAACGGUAGCUAAUACCGCAUACCAUCAGAUGUGCCCAGAUGUGAUUAGCUAGUAGGUGGGGUAAUGGCUCACCUAGGCGACGAUCACUAGCUGGGCUGAGAGGAUGACCAGCCACACUGGAACGGUGACCCGGUCCAGACUCCUACGGAGGGCAGCAGUGGGGAAUAUGGCACAAUGGGCGCAAGCCUGAUGCAGCCAUGCCGCGGGUGUGAAGAGGGCCUUCGGGUUGUAAAGCACUUUCAGCGAGGAGGCGUUACUCACAGAGGAAGCACCGGCUAACUCCGUGCCAGCAGCCGCGGUAAUAC